CGGCGGACGGGUGAGUAACACGUGGAUAACCUACCUAUAAGACUGGGAUAACUUCGGGAAACCGGGGCUAAUACCGGAUAAUAUAUUGAACCGCAUGGUUCAAUAGUGAAAGACGGUUUUGCUGUCACUUAUAGAUGGAUCCGCGCCGCAUUAGCUAGUUGGUAAGGUAACGGCUUACCAAGGCAACGAUGCGUAGCCGACCUGAGAGGGUGAUCGGCCACACUGGAACUGAGACACGGUCCAGACUCCUACGGGAGGCAGCAGCU
rnacentral:rRNA from 1 species